GAAGGAUAUUCUCGCUGGCUGUGCGGUUCAACAUUGACUUGGAGAUUUCUGGCUUUGCUGCACUCAUGCCCACAUCCUUACCCGCACAUACGGAGGGGUUAUUGAUGGAUUGUGCUCUAGUUGGUUGGUGGAUUGGGCUCUGAGUCUUGCACAACUUGCUUCUGCCACUGCUAUUUUUUUUGAGUUUGUUGGAUUCAGGCACAGCUUCUGAGUUUUGACAUGUUUAUUUUACUCUAAUUGAAAUUUUAUUAAGGUUCUUUAUCCCGCACUUUGCUUAAUUAUUAACAUUGGAGCUGUUCUAGAACUGUUUGCAAAAGGGAUUGAAAAAGCUAAAAAAGUAUUCCUCAUCUCCCUUCCGUCUAGCGCAAACUAUCAAUGAACAUCAAUGCGGAAGUACCGCCAAGAGAGAAAUUGGAAGAUUAAUAGAGGAAGAAGGAAGGAAGAACUGAAGAACAGAAAAGAGAGGAGGACGAAGAUAGGGGGACUUGGGGGGGGGGGGGGGUGAUGCUCAUGUUCAACUUAAUACAAAUUCACAUUAACCACCAACGACAAUGCAACCUGCUAGUAUAUACAGGGAAACUAAUAAACCCUUAACAUGAUGCUUGUUAAUCAGCCUCCUUCAAGAGUCCAUCGAUUGCCCUGCUGCUUGUUCUAUGCCACUUACCUAAGCAAAAUAUGUUGCAAUAUUGCUUUUCUAGUAAUAGUUGGUAAUAUCGUAAUAUAGUCACUGUUAAGUGUUCACUUGUUUUUGGAAUAAGAAAUCUGGUUAAUUGAGUGCUUUAGAAGCCAAGGCUGUGCUUGACAGCAACAAGGCCUGAAGGAAAGCGGUGCAUCCGAAUUAAAUGCGUAACAUUAGCAUGUUAAGCCAAACACAGUUCCUCAACCUUGUAUUAUGUGAACUUUUUUUAGUGGGGAAUGCGCCAUCAUCAAUAAUGAUCUCUCUCUCUCUCUUAUUUUUUUUUUGUAGUUGUAUAUGCACUCAUCAAAUGGAUUACUUUUUAGAUGGACAAGAAUUGGGUUUGAGCGUGGCAGAGAUGCCAAGAGAUACCAUCUUCAAGAAUGAUAUUUAAAUUUUUUUGUUCCCUCAUAUUUCUAAGAAAAAUGUAAAUUAGGUGGGGAAGAACGUCGGGCAAAGAGGGUUGGGAAGGGGAUGAAAAAGUUUGAAUGUUUCUUGGAUAUGAUAAUUGAACAAAUUAUUUUUAUAAUU